UGAAGGUCGUCGUGCCUUAUUACUUGCAAGUUCGUACGAGUGUCAACGAAGGAUGAUCGGUGCUUGAACCGAGAUUCAACAUGGAACGAGUGGCGGACGGGUGAGUAACACGUGGGUAACCUGCCCUUAAGUGGGGGAUAACAUUUGGAAACAGAUGCUAAUACCGCAUAGAUCCAAGAACCGCAUGGUUCUUGGCUGAAAGAUGGCGUAAGCUAUCGCUUUUGGAUGGACCCGCGGCGUAUUAGCUAGUUGGUGAGGUAAUGGCUCACCAAGGCGAUGAUACGUAGCCGAACUGAGAGGUUGAUCGGCCACAUUGGGACUGAGACACGGCCCAAACUCCUACGGGAGGCAGCAGUAGGGAAUCUUCCACAAUGGACGCAAGUCUGAUGGAGCAACGCCGCGUGAGUGAAGAAGGCUUUCGGGUCGUAAAACUCUGUUGUUGGAGAAGAAUGGUCGGCAGAGUAACUGUUGUCGGCGUGACGGUAUCCAACCAGAAAGCCACGGCUAACUACGUGCCAGCAGCCGCGGUAAUACGUAGGUGGCAAGCGUUAUCCGGAUUUAUUGGGCGUAAAGCGAGCGCAGGCGGUUUUUUAAGUCUGAUGUGAAAGCCCUCGGCUUAACCGAGGAAGCGCAUCGGAAACUGGGAAACUUGAGUGCAGAAGAGGACAGUGGAACUCCAUGUGUAGCGGUGAAAUGCGUAGAUAUAUGGAAGAACACCAGUGGCGAAGGCGGCUGUCUGGUCUGUAACUGACGCUGAGGCUCGAAAGCAUGGGUAGCGAACAGGAUUAGAUACCCUGGUAGUCCAUGCCGUAAACGAUGAAUGCUAGGUGUUGGAGGGUUUCCGCUCUUCAGUGCCGCAGCUAACGCAUUAAGCAUUCCGCCUGGGGAGUACGACCGCAAGGUUGAAACUCAAAGGAAUUGACGGGGGCCCGCACAAGCGGUGGAGCAUGUGGUUUAAUUCGAAGCAACGCGAAGAACCUUACCAGGUCUUGACAUCUUUUGAUCACCUGAGAGAUCAGGUUUCCCCUUCGGGGGCAAAAUGACAGGUGGUGCAUGGUUGUCGUCAGCUCGUGUCGUGAGAUGUUGGGUUAAGUCCCGCAACGAGCGCAACCCUUAUGACUAGUUGCCAGCAUUUAGUUGGGCACUCUAGUAAGAAUGCCGGUGAACAACCGGAGGA
rnacentral:rRNA from 1 species